rnacentral:misc_RNA from 1 species
UUAAUUAUUUGCUUUUCACUUCAGGCUGCAAUGUUGUUCAGGGUUGGGUGUUCGGCUGGCGCACCACGCUGUCAAGCGGGCGCGCCUGAAGCCGACGGGUUUGUUAUAUUCGGGGGCUAAGCAAAGGGUGGGGGCGGGCGCCGAAGCACCCAACCUGGGUCCCAGUAAUGAUCCUUCCGCAGGUUCACCUACGGAAA